AUGAACGCUGGCGGCGUGCUUAACACAUGCAAGUCGAACGAAACACCUUAUUUGAUUUUCUUCGGAACUGAAGAUUUGGUGAUUGAGUGGCGGACGGGUGAGUAACGCGUGGGUAACCUACCCUGUACAGGGGGAUAACAGUCAGAAAUGACUGCUAAUACCGCAUAAGACCACAGCACCGCAUGGUGCAGGGGUAAAAACUCCGGUGGUACAGGAUGGACCCGCGUCUGAUUAGCUGGUUGGUGAGGUAACGGCUUACCAAGGCGACGAUCAGUAGCCGGCUUGAGAGAGUGAACGGCCACAUUGGGACUGAGACACGGCCCAAACUCCUACGGGAGGCAGCAGUGGGGAAUAUUGCACAAUGGGGGAAACCCUGAUGCAGCGACGCCGCGUGAGUGAAGAAGUAUCUCGGUAUGUAAAGCUCUAUCAGCAGGGAAGAAAAUGACGGUACCUGACUAAGAAGCCCCGGCUAACUACGUGCCAGCAGCCGCGGUAAUACGUAGGGGGCAAGCGUUAUCCGGAAUUACUGGGUGUAAAGGGUGCGUAGGUGGUAUGGCAAGUCAGAAGUGAAAACCCAGGGCUUAACUCUGGGACUGCUUUUGAAACUGUCAGACUGGAGUGCAGGAGAGGUAAGCGGAAUUCCUAGUGUAGCGGUGAAAUGCGUAGAUAUUAGGAGGAACAUCAGUGGCGAAGGCGGCUUACUGGACUGAAACUGACACUGAGGCACGAAAGCGUGGGGAGCAAACAGGAUUAGAUACCCUGGUAGUCCACGCCGUAAACGAUGAGUACUAAGUGUUGGGUGUCAAAGCUCAGUGCUGCAGUUAACGCAAUAAGUACUCCGCCUGAGUAGUACGUUCGCAAGAAUGAAACUCAAAGGAAUUGACGGGGGCCCGCACAAGCAGCGGAGCAUGUUGUUUAAUUCGAUGCAACGCGAAGAACCUUACCAUGUCUUGACAUCGAGGUAAGCCUGCAGAAAUGCAGGGUGGAUUCGUCCGACCGAAGACAGGUGGUGCAUGGUUGUCGUCAGCUCGUGUCGUGAGAUGUUGGGUUAAGUCCCGCAACGAGCGCAACCCCUAUCUUUAGUAGCCAGCAUUUCAGGUGGGCACUCUAGAGAGACUGCCAGGGAUAACCUGGAGGAAGGUGGGGACGACGUCAAAUCAUCAUGCCCCUUAUGACCAGGGCUACACACGUGCUACAAUGGCGUAAACAGAGGGAAGCAGCCUCGUGAAAGUGAGCAAAUCCCAAAAAUAACGUCUCAGUUCGGAUUGUAGUCUGCAACUCGACUACAUGAAGCUGGAAUCGCUAGUAAUCGCGAAUCAGAAUGUCGCGGUGAAUACGUUCCCGGGUCUUGUACACACCGCCCGUCACACCAUGGGAGUCAGUAACGCCCGAAGUCAGUGACCCAACCGUAAGGAGGGAGCUGCCGAAGGCGGGACCGAUAACUGGGGUG
rnacentral:rRNA from 1 species